CAAAAUGCACAGCCUCAGCCUUGUGCAUUUAGAAAAAAAAAAUCAUAAAAAAAUGACACAAAAACCACCACCAAUUGAUUUGGAAAAUAAAGUGGAGAACUGGAGAUCAAUUCCAGACAUCAAUGACUGAGUUUACAGUUCAAAAGGUUCCUCCACAGACUUUGUAGUGUCUGCACCCUCCGACCACUUGUUGAUGUUUUCGCUCUAAUCCUAGACAAAAACAACAUUCAACAAUUCUAUAUCGAGUAUAAAAAUGACGUCAGAGACUCCUUGCUCGCCACAGUAUUGGAUGCAGUCGAGUGACAAUCAAGAUGUGCAAACAGAUUGCGAGGCAUGCAUUUUGUUUCCCUCAACAGUUGUGUGGAUAUAUAUAAGAUUUUAGAGAAAUUCAACGCCAACAUUUCUCAUAGUGGUCUCAAGUAAAGUGUCACACAAGACGUAUGUUUUGAUAUUAUAUAAUUCGACUGAAUAAAUCUUAAUCUCUAACCAAAGUUUCAACUUCAGAGUUUAUUUGUAAUUUCAUGUGUAAUUUCAAAAGGUUUAGAUUCACUAGGAACUAACUACUUCUUUUACGUACAAAUUUCACCACGUAAUUACGUACUUCCAGAUUCGAAGUUUCAGUGAUUAUUCUGUAGCUAAAA